ensembl:lncRNA
UGACGACACCCCAGGAUGACUCAGGACACCCCAGGAUGACUCAGGACACCCAGGAUAACUCAGGAGAACCCAGGAUGAUUCAGGACAACCAAGGAUGACACAGGACACCCCAGAGUGACACAGAACACCACAGGCUGAGUCAGGACAACAUAAGAUGAUUCAGGACAUCCCAGGAUGGCAUUGGACACUCUGGGAAGACACAGGAAAACCGAGGAUGACACAGGACACCCAGUCUUACGCAGGAAAUCCUAGGAUGACUCAGGAGACACCAGCAUGACUCAGGACAACCCAGGAUGUCACAAGACACACCACGCUAACACAGGACACCCCAGGAUGACACAGGACUCCCCAGGCUGAUGCAGGACACUCCUGAAUGACACAUGAUACCCCAGAAUGACUCAGCACAUCCGAAGAUGGAUCAGAUCACCCCAUGCUGACACAGGACACCCCAAGAUGACUCUGCACAACCCAGGCUGAAACAGGACACCCCAGGAUGACUCAGGACACACAAGGAUGUCUCAGGAUUCCCCUGGCUGAUUCAGCACACCUGAGGAUGACAAAGGACACCCCCGGCUGACUCAGGAGACCCCAGGAUAACCCAGGAGACCCCAGGAUAACCCAGGAGACCCCAGGAUGACUCAGGAGACCCCAGGAUGACACUGGACACCCAAGUCUGGGACAGGACACAACAGGCUGACACAGGACACCCCAGCCUUACACAGGACAUCUUAGGCUGACUCAGGAGACCCAAGGAUGACACACGACACAUGAGGCUGACUCAGGAUACCGGAUGUUGACACAGGACACCCCAGGAUGACUCUGGACACCUAGGGUGGCUCAGGACACCGCAGACUGUCUCAAGAAACACCAGGCUGACACAGGACACCCGAGGAUGCUACAGGACAGCCCAGGAUGACUCAGGGCAGCCCAGUAUGACACAGGACACAACAGGAUGACACAGGACACCCCAGGAUGACAAAAACAACCCAGGCUGACUCAAGACACACCAGGAUGACUCCGCAAUCUGCAGACUGACACAGGAAAACCCAGGCUGAGUCAGGAAACCGCCAGCUGACAAGAGACACCCCAGGAUGUCAGGAUAGCCCAGGCUGACACAGGACACGCCAGACUCUCUCAGGACACCCCAGCAUGACACAGGACACCCCAGGAUGACUCAGGACACCCCAGGCUGACACAGGAUGCCCUAGGAUGACACAGGACACUCCAGCAUUAAUAUUGACACCCCAGGCAAUCUCAGGACACCCCGAGUAAUUCAGGACACCCCAAGCUGACACAGAACAACCCCAGCCGACUCAGGACAGUCCAGGAUGACUCAGGACAUCUCAGGAUCACUCAGAAAGCCCCAGGCUGACACAGGACACCCGAGUCUGUCACAGGAGAGACCAAGGUUGCACAGGACACCCCAGGUUGAUUCAGAGACCCCAGGCUGACUCAGGACAAACCAGGCUUUGACAGGACACCCUAGGAUAUCUCAGGACACCUCAGCAUGGCUCAGGACAUGCUGGCUGACUCAGGACACUCCAGGCUGAUUCAGACACCACAGGCUGACACAGGACACCCAGGGAUGACUCAGGACACCCCAGGAUGACACAGGACACCAAAGGCUGACACAGGAUACCCCAGGCUGACCCAGGACAACCCAGGAUGACACAGGACAC